rnacentral:antisense_RNA from 1 species
GAUUUCACACCGACCUCCAUCAACAGCUAAACUGCACAGGGAGGAGGAUCGAACGGAUCCCUCCCGCCCUCCGCCCAAGGAGCCGACCCGGGGUAGCAAGACCCCUGCCCCCGCCAGGCUAGGACGAGCAGCCGCCACCGCUGCCACCGCCACCGCCGCCGCCGCAGCGUCUCAGUGCGGCCCCGCCUCCGCCGACCCACCACCUUCACCACCUCCACGCUCCGGUACCGCCCCUCCCGCCAAUCGGACAGCUCCGGCUACGCCCCCAGGGCGCCAGCCCGCAGCCAAUGAGCAACGAGAGCCCGGCUGGGAGUCGUGCCGGCCAAUCGCAGGGGCCGAGGAAGCCUUGAAUCUCCGGGCAAGUUAAGUUUAUCUCCGAGGCUCGGAACUGAACGGAGAUGGCGGUUAGCUAAGUAGUAGGGUAGCAGGGAACAGUUUGCUCUCCUCUGCCAAUAAGAGGACGAGGGUGUGUCAUAUGCAAAUACACUGCCCUCCAAGCCCCACCCCCAAGAUAAGCUACGCCCCCUUCUCUAGGUCCCUGCAAAAGUGGUGAGGAGAAUGAGAUAAAUAGUUGGGAGCUAGAGCUCGCUAGAGAGUCUAAGAUUGAGCUAAAUAUUUCCUGAUCUCUCGAGAAAGGGGGAGGGGAGUGGGAGGAUUAAAUGUUCCUUCCUUCAGGACAGUGGUUAGGCUUUCUCUCCACGAAAAUCUAACUUUAGCUGUAAAGAAGACAGCAGUUAUGUAGCACUUUGUAUCCAGGGAUCUCAAAAACUUUAUGCAUCAUUUAUUGUGAACCUUGUUUUGCAAAGACUUCAGUUACUUGAGGCUUGGGAGGCGGAUAGGGGAUAAAUGUCUGAGUUAUAUAUAUAUUUACGCAAGUAAUCGAGUUUGAGGGGAAGAGACAUAAAACCUCUGGUUUAGCGGUUUCCUCCUGUUUCUGAAGCAUCUUCUAGCAGUUAUCUUAGAGAUGUAAGUUCAUUUACUUGUCCAGCACUAAAAGGCCAAAGGGGCUUGUUUUCUCACCCAAAAGACCUUCCUGAGGCAGCUGUUUGGAUACAUGCAGAGCACAGCGCCCUGCUCAGAAAGGAAGGUUCAGAGAACAAAUUGCCGUUUAAAACUAUUGGGACAAACCUGCCUCUUCUAGAGCUUAAAAUGGUCUGCAGCGUACCAGCAUUUGUGAAGGCCUGCAGUUCGUAGAAUGAAAUCUAUGUGGAGAUGAUUUAAAAGAACGGUUUCACUGAGACCAACACAUAUAAACCAAGUCUACACAAGGAACAAAGCUAAAAUCCUUUCGAAAUGAGUUCCUUUAAGUUCUUCAGUAACUAAAUCCCCCAGAAAGGAAAGCAGAGAGAAUCUAGCCCUAUACAAUAACAUCCUCUAACAAAGAUUGCUAAAGGAAGAUUUUAGUAGAUGAAUAUCUUCAAUAAUACAUGGUCACAUACAUGUAUCCGACCAUAUGAUGGCUCUCUGCACCAAAUUCCUCCAAACUAUUAUAAUAUGUAUUGUCUGUAGUGCUAUUUAUUUGGCAGUUAAUCAUGUAUUGCACUGUGACAUUUCUUAUACUGAACCA